rnacentral:rRNA from 1 species
AGUGGCGGACGGGUGAGAAACACGUGGGAACGAGCCCUUUGGUUCGGAACAACUCAGGGAAACUUGAGCUAAUACCGAAUGUGCCCUACGGGGGAAAGAUUUAUCGCCAUUGGAGCGGCCCGCGUUGGAUUAGCUAGUUGGUGAGGAAAAGGCUCACCAAGGCUACGAUCCAUAGCUGGUCUGAGAGGAUGAUCAGCCACACUGGGACUGAGUCACGGCCCAGACUCCUACGGGAGGCAGCAGUUAGGAAUCUUGCGCAAUGGGCGAAAGCCUGACGCAGCCAUGCCGCGUGAAUGAUGAAGGUCUUAGGAUUGUAAAAUUCUUUCAGCGGGGACGAUAAUGACGGUACCCGCAGAAGAAGCUCCGGCUAACUUCGUGCCAGCAGCCGCGGUAAUACGAAGGGGGCUAGCGUUGCUCGGAAUUACUGGGCGUAAGGGGCGCGUAGGCGGAUGUUUAAGUCAGAGGUGAAAGCCCAGGGCUCAACCUUGGAACUGCCUUUGA